rnacentral:rRNA from 1 species
AUUGAACGCUGGCGGCAGGCCUAACACAUGCAAGUCGAGCGGAUGAAGGGAGCUUGCUCCUGGAUUCAGCGGCGGACGGGUGAGUAAUGCCUAGGAAUCUGCCUGGUAGUGGGGGAUAACGUCCGGAAACGGGCGCUAAUACCGCAUACGUCCUGAGGGAGAAAGUGGGGGAUCUUCGGACCUCACGCUAUCAGAUGAGCCUAGGUCGGAUUAGCUAGUUGGUGGGGUAAAGGCCUACCAAGGCGACGAUCCGUAACUGGUCUGAGAGGAUGAUCAGUCACACUGGAACUGAGACACGGUCCAGACGCCUACGGGAGGCAGCAGUGGGGAAUAUUGGACAAUGGGCGAAAGUCUGAUCCAGCCAUGCCGCGUGUGUGAAGAAGGUCUUCGGAUUGUAAAGCACUUUAAGUUGGGAGGAAGGGCAGUAAGUUAAUACCUUGCUGUUUUGACGGUACCAACAGAAUAAGCACCGGCUAACUUCGUG